CGGGGGUCAGUCACCCCAACAACCAGGCGACUGGGCCCAGGUGCCUCGGGGCGCCCAGCACCUCUGAGCCUCGGGGGCGGGCCCGCGCUCUGGUCUCGGUGCCCUGCUCUGUCGGUUACCACUGCGGGCCCCCAGGUGAGUAGACGGGUGCGGGAGCUCCUGAACUGGGCCACUUUGGGAGGCCGCGGUUCUGGCGGACGGUCUUCUUCUGCCUUUUCGGGGACCCAGAUGCGUCUCGGGCUGGAGAGCCCGCCGCGCAGGUGGAGGAGUGCGGGUAGGAGCCCCACCAGGAGCUUCUUCUGUCCUUCCAGCACUUUAACUCCGCGAAAAGGGUCGGGCUAGGCACGGGCAGGGUGACCCCCGCCAGGGGGCCUAAUGGUGAGCGCGAAUUUCUCAUUCGAGUUUGGCUAAGGUUUGAGAUUGAAUUUGAAACAAACGGAGGCGCGGCCCUGGCUGGGUCACCACCUUAGGCACCCUUUCCGGAUCCCAGGGUUUCACCGGCCGCACGACUCUGAGCUGUCAUGGUGUCACCUGAACCUGAGCUGGGGUCUGGGGGGAAUUCGUGUCUCUCGGCCUUUCCAUGGGGGCUUCUAGCCAUGCCCACCCCCUCUUUGUUGUGUGCAACGAAACAAGUAUUGUUGCACUGAAACCUGCACACCAAACCCUGCUUAAAAAAAAAAAAAUCCGCAGUUCUCAAAAAACUGGACUUAAGGAGGCAGUGCAAUAGAGAACGUGACUGGGCCCAUUCAACCCCGGAGAAAAGCCCCAAGGCCAGUGGGAGCGGGUGUGCAGGGCCCUCUGCCUGGGAACCUCUGCAGUCUGCCACCGCUUUCCCGCGGGGAAUGCAGCACCUCCGAGGCACCCACAGCGUGAAAUACCUGGUCCUGCUGCCAGCUUGCUGCUCAGCAUAGAGGAAGACACUCACUGGCCACCACACACCUAUGCCGUUUGUGGUCCUAGCAGGGGAGCAUCCUGGAUUCCCACCCCUUCCAGCAAGCCGGCAAACCUACCUGAUCAAACCAACUCCAAGACUAGGGAAGUGAGGGGGUGCUGGUGCUGCCGGGCUGGAGUGAGCCUUGGAGACAGCAGAGGAAGGGAGUUGGUGUUUCUAUCCAACGCAGAUCACCUCUCUAGAAGGCUCUGAAAACCGUCCAAUGACUCCUUAUCUCUGAGGGAGCACAAGUGUGCGGAGCCCCGGCGCCCAGAAGCCGCGGGGCUCCUGCAACUUUGAGCGCGAGGAGCAAGAAACGGAACCGGUUUCCCACGCAUUUCCUCUCGAUCCCAAAACCUUCCAAAAUGCGCCAACGAAUCCCGUGGUCUGGCUGACGCUGCUUGUGCCCUCGAGGUACGUGCUCACCCCACGGGCCCGCAGCCAGCCGUGGAACUGGAGGCGGAGGUCUCCUUCCACCGCCCACAC